CAAACGACUCUCGGCAACGGAUAUCUCGGCUCAUGCAUCGAUGAAGAACGUAGCAAAAUGCGAUACUUGGUGUGAAUUGCAGAAUCCCGUGAACCAUYGAGUUUUUGAACGCAAGUUGCGUCCAAAGCCUUUUGGCUGAGGGCACGUCUGCCUGGGCGUCACAU
rnacentral:rRNA from 1 species